rnacentral:rRNA from 1 species
AACGGGUGAGUAACANCGUGGGUGACCUACCNCUGAAGACGGGGACAACCCUUGGAAACGGGGGCUAAUACCCGAUGUGCUCGGUCAUUCGGUUGGUCGAGUAAAGGCUGAGGCGCUUCAGGAUGGGCCUGCGGCCCAUCAGCUAGUUGGUAGGGUAACGGCCUACCAAGGCGGAGACGGGUAGGGGGCGUGAGAGCGCGGUCCCCCACACUGGCACUGCGACACGGGCCAGACUCCUACGGGAGGCAGCAGUAAGGAAUCUUGCGCAAUGGGCGAAAGCCAGACGCAGCGACGCCGCGUGGGCGAAGAAGGCCUUCGGGUUGUAAAGCCCUUUUCCAGGGGAAGAGGAAGGACGGUACCCUGGGAAUAAGUCCCGGCUAACUAUGUGCCAGCAGCCGCGGUAAGACAUAGGGGACGAGCGUUAUCCGGAUUUACUGGGCGUAAAGAGCGUUGAGGCGGUUCCGUAAGUUGGAUGUGAAAGCCCCGGGCUUAACUCGGGGAGGUCGUCAAUACUGCGGGGCUAGAGGGCAGCAGAGGGAGGUGGACAUUCCCGGUGUAGUGGUGAAAUGCGUAGAUUCGGGAGAACACCGUGGCGAAGGCGGCCUCCUGGGCUGACCCUGACGCUGAAUGCGAAAGCUAGCGGGAGCGAACGGGAUUAGAUACCCCGGUAGUCCUAGCUGUAAACGAUGCGAUGCUGGGUGUGGGGG